GUAAAAUGGCCGAUAAAGGUGAUAAAUUGUAAAUUUAUUCAUGAAAUUAUUUCUUUUACU
rnacentral:tRNA from 1 species